rnacentral:sRNA from 1 species
AAUUAUUACCAGCGCGAUUUUUUUUUAAUAAAAAUAAAUAACCGGAAAACGCAAUUAAUAAUAGCGAAAAAAACCAGCGAGAGCCCAAAAACCGAAUUAAAGUUAGAAAACCCAAAAGCAAUUACAAAGUCGAAAAAUUCGACCCUAUACCUUUAAUACGAAUUGUUAGGUUUACCACGGGAUCGCGCGAAACCCCGUCGUCAUUUUCCAAAUUUAACCGGCAAAAAGCUCCAGCGCAAAAUAAUAAAUUUCGAUUAUAUAUAUAUUUUUUUGUAAACGAGUUUUUUAAAUUAAACCAUCCAUAUUAUAGGUUAUUUUCCACAAAAUUUUGUUUGUAAACCGAUCGUAAAAUAUUGGGGCUGGAAUUUGCGGUAAUUAAACGACAGCGGCAAAAUAAUUCGAAUGGCGAUUUUCUACCGUUACAAAUUACGAUUUUAUACCAGUCGCGGCCGGCGGCGCAAUUCCCAAAUGUGAAAACCUCGCCGCAGCCAAUUGCAAUUAAAGGUUAUUUAGUUUAUUUCACCAAUUGUAGCGAAAAUAUGUCCAAUAUUAUUUAUUUGAAAAUUACGGGUCCAAAAAACCUUGGGGCAGGCGUAUUUAAAUAAAAUUAUAAUUGAAAAAUUAUUGGUCCAGAGGUGGUGUUUAUUUCGUAAAUAGAACAAUUUUUUACUAAUAAUAUAAUAAAUUAUACGAGGUAUAACCGCCGAUAAAUUAGCAAAUUUUUGUGUAAAAAUUAGUUACCCAAAACAAUUUUUUGUGCGGCGUCGCAAAUUGCUUCCACACCCGGUUUAAACUAUGCCUCGGUAUACGCCUUAUAAUCGCCGCAUACGCCGAAACUAAACAAUUCCAAAUUUAAUUGCCUUUGGACAAAAUUUAUAUAAUAUAUAGAGAUUUGGAGAACGUCCAAUUUAUUAUUCGAACAGAUAUUAUUUGACGAAAUAAUUUGGUAGGCCAGUGGGGAAUAAAUCGCGAUAUUUCCCUCCUGGCGUCCAGGAUAUACCAAGCCAGGAAAAUUGGGGAAUAUUUCGAUAAUUUCCAUAAUAUUUUCAACCAUUCGUAUAUUAUUAUAAUACCGAAUUUUUUCCUUAAUAUUGUUUGGAGCCUGUUUGCGAUAAAAGCGUUUGGAAAAAGAGCAUUUAAACCUUUAUACCUUAUUUGCGAUUAAAAGUGAAAAAGCGGAGGUGGUCCAUUUAUAACGCCUAUAAGACGAAAAAGACAAAUUAUAAUUAAAUGCAGCGAAAAGCUAAUUUGGAUAAAAGUUUUUACAAAUGUAACGAAAACCGUUAGUUUGUUUGGAUAUUAAUACCAUCCGAGGGUACGAGGCUGUCCAUGGCCGAAUUUGUGGAAAGGUAGAAUUUAUUUAAGGGAAUUUUAAAAUUUGCAUUAAAUUGUAACGCACCGAUAAAUAUAAUAUUUAAUUAUAAAGAUAUAUUAUUACAAUUCUGCUUUUUGGUAUUUAACAAUUUAUUGGAUAUGUGAAAAAUAUUAAUUUUACGUCGUAGGAACCUAAUACCGAAACAUUGUUUAAUAAUUAAAAAAAGAAAUUUCAUUUUUGGCUCGCAUUCUCUACCUAAAAAAAACCAGAAACGGCAACGUAAUUUCGGGGAGGCCGAGGGCAAAUAUUCCGGAACACGUUCGGCCUUUCCCUGGGAUUUUUUUGGGACCAAUUAGCCGCGAAAAUCAAAACCGGGUUUUAAAACCGUUUAGGCCAGAUUAAAUCGUUGGUGGUUACUUUUAUUUAUUAUAAUUCGCCAACGCGGUUAUAUAAGGGUUAAAUUCCUGUAAAAAAUAUUACGGCGCUGGGGUAUAAAUCGCGUUAAAAUUUGUUAAAAUUUUACAACGCAAUACCAAAACAGUUUUUUUCGCCCAUUUAUUUAAUGCAAAAAAAUACCAAAAGAAAAUACCCCUAAAAUAUUAUAUAACCUCCUUUUAUUAAUUUACACCGCAUUCGCAAAAUAAAAAGGGCGAAGAAUUUUGCCAAAUGCAAAUCGAAAAAAAUAUAUCCAAAUUAAAUGCCGGGAUCCUCCGUGCAGGUAAAAGCCAAUAGGAACGAACCCGUUAAAAAAUUCCCGCAGAAAAGUUAAUAUUAAAUUCACCCCUGAUUUUUCAACCAUAUUAAUAAUAAUAUCGACGAUCCGUAAAAAUUUUAAAACAAGGUUUUAAUAUAUUAUAUUAUAAUCUCGCACCGGUUAAUUAAUAUACUUUUUUUUUUAAUUGUGGCCGACCAAUCGCUUCCACAAAAAUUAAAUAGGCCUGUUUCGAAGCCGAUUACAAUUUUAAAUGGCGUGCGCCCGACUUUUAUAUAAAGUGACCGAAGCAGUAAAUAUUACCGUUGCCGAUUAGUAUUGGAUAAGGUAUAGUUUGGCGGAGAACCGGAUAAUAUUCCGUAUAUAAGGGUAAAUAAAUAUUAAUGCCUGUUACCCUAAUGGUUUAAUUAACCUACCUAUCGCUAAAAGCCGGUAUAAUAAAUUUGGAAGUAUAGCAGCCUGUUGGCCCGGCCAAAUUUGGAAAUGGACAAAUUAGUUUAACUUUUGUCGUUUGCUUCCAUUUGGAAUGUAGUAAAAAGUUGCAAUAAAAUGUUUAAUAAUGGAUGCAAAUUAGCCCUCCGGAAGUGGUUGUCUGUAUUAUUUUUAGGUACAUUAUUUAAUUGCAAAGAUAGUUCGGCACCCAACUAUUAUAAUUUGUUUUUAAAACCAGCGGCUGUUUCCAUUUAUUUUCGAAUUACACCAGGAUUUAUUUGCAAUUUCACAAAAACUAGGUAAAGGAAAACCCAAAACGCCUUAUAUUUGCUGGGUAACGCUAAACCGCCCGCUGACUACAAUAGAUAAGUUAAAGUUAUUUUACGGCAUAAAUUGUUUUAUCGGCUCGGUUUGCCCGAAAAUUGCAUGCAUUUGAGCCGCAAUUUAUUCGUUCGCCCGUGCAGUCCGCAAAAAAAAGGCAACCGACUAGCUUUUGGAAAGCCAAAGGCAAGGUUAUGCGGUAAAUAAUUAAUAUAUAAAACCCAGCUAUUAUUAUUAUCUAUUUGCGUCUUUAAUUUUAAUAACGCAGACCGUAAAUUAUAUUUUAUUUAAUUUUUUUUCCCCAAAAUAUUGGGGUGAGGAAAUAUACCGAAUAAUUAAACUAAUUAAUUCCCGCAACCGGCUAAUAAUAAACGGAUAUUUAAUUAAUAUCUUCCUUAAUAUAUUGGAUCCCCUAGGCGGGAAAUUGGAAUAUUAAAAUUAAGAAAUUUCUUUACCCCAAACGCGGACCGCAACGCUAAUUUAAACAAACCGAAAACUAAAAGGCAAAAAUGGUUUUUUUUACAAAAACCAACUUUGUUAACCAAUGCGAUAAACGCGUUAUUAAAUCCCAGAGGUACCUUUUCAAUUGCCCAAAUAACGACAGCAACCGCAUAUUAAAAAACAACAAAAGGACCGGUUAUAAAUUUUAAUAACGGUUUCGAACCUAUACCCCGGGCGCGCAAAUCACGUUGGUAGGAUGGAACCCUGGGAAUAAUAAAUUUAUAGGCGGUGGUGGGAACCCCCACCACUUAAUUACGCGGAAUAACAAACAAUGCGCGUAUUGGGCCAUCGGGCCAAUAAAGCCGGCGCGUUUCGGGUUUAAAAGGUGGGGGCGGGGUUAAUAACGCGACCGGUAAAGUCCACAAGGUUAACAAAUUAGUAAAGCAGCCAAAGACGCGUCGUAUAGGUUAAAAACAGUUAAUAAUUAAAGUUAAAGGUAUAUAUGCUGGGCAAAUCUCGGCCGGCGGGGACCAAAUAUAAUAUACGGGCGGUUUUCCACCUGUAUAGCGAAAGGGCCUAUUGCGUACAUUUAAGUUAAUUAUAAAAAGAGGUUGGCAAAUUUAUUUCGGACUAA